rnacentral:rRNA from 1 species
GAUGAACGCUAGCGGCAGGCCUAAUACAUACAAGUCGAACGGUGUCUUCGGACAUAGUGGCGCACGGGUGCGUAACACGUAUGCAACCUACCUUACAUUGGGGGAUAGCCUUUCGAAAGGGAGAUUAAUACCGCAUAAGACAGUAGCUGGGCAUCCAGCAGCUGUUAAAGAUUUAUCGAUGUAAGCUGGGCAUGCGUCCAAUUAGCUAGUUGGUGAGGUAACGGCUCACCAAGGCAAUGAUUGGUAGGGGAACUGAGAGGUCAAUCCCCCACACUGGCACUGAGAUACGGGCCAGACUCCGACGGGAGGCAGCAGUAGGGAAUAUUGGGCAAUGGACGCAAGUCUGACCCAGCCAUGCCGCGUGCAGGAUGAAGGCGUUAUGCGUUGUAAACUGCUUUUAUACAGGAAGAAACGACUCUUGCGAGAGGCAUUGACGGUACUGUAUGAAUAAGCACCGGCUAACUCCGUGCCAGCCGCCGCCGUAAAAC